rnacentral:rRNA from 1 species
GUGCCAGCAGCCGCGGUAAUACGUAGGGUGCAAGCGUUAAUCGGAAUUACUGGGCGUAAAGCGUGCGCAGGCGGUUUUGUAAGACAGAGGUGAAAUCCCCGGGCUCAACCUGGGAACUGCCUUUGUGACUGCAAGGCUGGAGUGCGGCAGAGGGGGAUGGAAUUCCGCGUGUAGCAGUGAAAUGCGUAGAUAUGCGGAGGAACACCGAUGGCGAAGGCAAUCCCCUGGGCCUGCACUGACGCUCAUGCACGAAAGCGUGGGGAGCAAACAGGAUUAGAUACCCUGGUAGUCCACGCCCUAAACGAUGCGAACUGGAUGUAGGUCUCAACUCGGAGAUCUGUGUCGAAGCCAACGCGUUAAGUUCGCCGCCUGGGGAGUACGGUCGCAAGA